CCCCCUUUACCUUUCCCUGGUUCCCCCCCCCCCGUCCCCCCCUUCUUUCCCCGCCGUCCGGAGCCGCUGCCAUGGUGUUUUACUUCACCUCCAACGUUGUCCCUGCAGUUUACACCAUUUACAUGGGAAAAGACAAGUAUGAAAAUGAAGAUUUAAUCAAGUAUGGCUGGCCUGAAGAUAUCUGGUUUCACGUGGAUAAGCUCUCCUCUGCUCAUGUCUACCUUCGGUUGCACAAGGGACAGACAGUGGAUGACAUUCCUAAAGAGGUUUUGAUCGACUGUGCCCACCUGGUGAAGGCAAACAGCAUCCAAGGCUGCAAGAUGAACAAUGUCAACGUGGUCUACACACCCUGGACCAACCUGAAGAAGACAGCAGACAUGGACGUGGGGCAGAUUGGCUUCCACAGGCAGAAGGAUGAUCACAGUUUUUUGCCCUCCCAAGGUGAAAAUGCUGACGGUGGAGAAGAAGGUGAAUGAGAUCCUGAACAGGCUGGAGAAAACCAAAGUGGAACGUUUCCCUGACCUGGCUGCUGAGAAGGAAGCUCGGGACAGGGAGGAGAGGAACGAGAAGAAAGCCCAGAUCCAAGAGAUGAAACGGAAAGAAAAGGAAGAGAUGAAGAAGAAGAAAGAGCUGGAGGAGCUCCGGAGCUACUCGUCCUUAAUGAAAGCUGAGAACAUGUCCUCCAAUCAGGAUGGGAAUGAUUCUGAUGACUUCAUGUAGGGCCCAGUCCCUUCCUCAGCUCUGAAGUUGGUCGGGAUGUCUCCAGCUGUCCCCAUCGCUAAGAAUGCCAAAAAAAAAACCAAACCCAAACCAAACAACCCCAAGAAACCAAAAGGAAAAACAAAACAAACAAAAAAAAGUGACCUCUUGCCUCUGUUUCUUCAGAACCUGGUUGGUUCUCCUGCCCAUGGACAACCUCUGGUGGGAAGGGAGAAGAUCUUGGUGUCUGCACCUCCACGGGAACCCGAGGUUUCCUUGGGAAUUCUGCUGAAUUCCCGGGGCUGUUUCCUCACAAAUCCUUCUCCUGAGAGAAGGGUGGGAAGAAGAGUUUCAGUUCCCUGCCCCCUCCACCUCUCCCCACCCCCCCGGGCUGGAGCUUUCUCACUCAGUGCUCUCUGAAGCUUCUCGGGGAUGAUUCUGUCGCCAGUCUGUCGCGAUAAUCCUGUAUAUAUGUCACGAUUAAAGUCACGGCGUGCUGGU